rnacentral:piRNA from 1 species
UACUAUGUUGCCUACAGAAUACAUCACAGA